rnacentral:lncRNA from 1 species
AAUUGGCUCCCCUUUCGCUGCGAUAACCAAGAGCAGCGGGGUGGAAAUGCAGCCACUUCCCGGCUCCUGUUCUAAUGAGAUCAGUGCGCGCCCCUGGGAAAGGGCUGUGCCCUCACUGUUUGCCCACAUCCCACCGAAAUCCCACGGGAUCGAUGGGGGUCGGCCGGGUGCACCGCCCCGAGGCCAUGGGAUCGAUGAGGAGUGAAGGAAAUGCGGCCGAAGAUGCGCGGUUUUACAGCUUCCUCCCCAAGAACGGCCGUGCUUUA